rnacentral:rRNA from 1 species
CACGCAGUAAACGAUGAGCACUGACUGUGCGGGGCGAACGGGCCCUGCGCGGUAAAGCGAAAGCGUUAAGUGCUCCACCUGGGGAGUACGCCGGCAACGGUGAAACUCAAAGGAAUUGACGGGGGCCCGCACAAGCGGAGGAACAUGUGGUUUAAUUCGAUGAUACGCGAGGAACCUUACCCGGGCUUGAAUUGCAACCGAAUAAGCGAGAGAUCGUUUAGCCGCAAGGCGGUUGUGAAGGUGC